GAGGCAGCAACCCUGACAGAAAAUAGGUCAAACUGAGGCGAUGAUCUUGCACAGAAAGUGAAGCAGAAACACAAGCGCAUAUUUCCAAACUGGUGUUGAGUACAGAUGAGCAGAAAGCCCAGACUAAGAUUCCUCUAAUCUUUAAAUGUGAAAUAAAAUGAUUAAUCUCUGUUCAGCUCUAAAAAUAUUAUUUGCUAAUAACAACAAAGUUGGAGGAAGGUUCAGCCUCAAUCUGUUUUCACACAUUAACAGCCAAAUAAAAAUCUGAUGGAAUAUAGAAACUCUGGAGACGGGAGUUAGAUGAGUCCUCCUCUGAACUCUGGACGUCAAAAUCAUUGACUUGAUGACCUGAUAUCCUCCCAGGCCAAAAGUUUAUUAAAAAACCCUGAACUCAACUCAUCAGAUUUACUGUAGUUUGAAUUAAUCCAUCAGCUGCCGAUCACUUAAGUCGUUAAAUUUUCAAAUGUGUUCCUACUUCCGAGGUUAGGACUCGUAUCAGACCGAACCUCUGCCUCCAGGACACACCUGACAAACAACCGCUGCUCUGAGGUUAAAUAUAAAUUUAAAAAGUGUUUUACUAAAAUCUGACUUCUCGUACACCCACAGAGUUCACAGGUUGAAAACGAGUUGACACUGAGGUACGAUGGUCCCAGUCGUCCCUGAGAUGCGCUUUGUGUUUUUGCUGCCUUCGGUCUGAUCAUCGCCUCAGUCUGCCUGGCAGGCAGUACCUCUGGGCAAAAAAACACAACAUGCAUGAAUACGAUUUGUACAAUUUUAAAAAUUAAUGAAAACGUUUAACAGCUAAAAUGAUUAAACACUCAAAGCAUGGUGUCACUCACAGACUGCAGAUGAAUGUGAAUCCUACAGACUCUGACACACUCGUACAUGUCUGCAAAUUUGACAAGAAAGGAGAAAAUCUCAUGUUGUAAAUUUGGUAAAAUCAUCAAACAUGAGGUGAAGUUCUUCUCUGCAGCUGUGAUUUUGCCCAGAUCAGUGAAGACUGUAGAAAUCCCUCCACCCUGCAGCACUGCAGCAAGAACCUGACGUGAAAGGUGAGGAGGGGUUUCUGAGAUCUCCAUCGUCCGACUGCCUGCCGGGCGGCGUGUUAGGGUUGCUGUCUCUCACGGGAGAAGAUGAUUUUAUUUUGUCUUUUAACUUUUUGUUAACUUUUAUUAACAGACUUUAAGAACUUAUCCAGAGAAGUUGUGAGGCUCACUGAGGAAACAGGUGAACAAUGCAGUGUUAUUUUGGAGCGAGGAGGAGGAGGAGGAGGCGGAGGAGGCCCAGGAGAGUUAAAUGCAGGAGCACAGAGGAGUGAACGAGGCUGUGUUGAAUCGGUUUGACUGCAGAGACGAGACGAGCCGGUUUCCAGCGACUCUCUAUCGUCCUGCCGGCCCGGCUGUUGCUUAGUAACUGCUGCUUUCAGUGCCGGCUGAUGUCUGAAACGCCAGGCGUCUCACCACGCAGCCGAUCGGCACACAGCUCCAUCACAUGUCUGCAGCCAACUCAUCUCAGCUCUGAAGAAAACGAAAGAGAGACCCAGUGAAUCAUUUCACCAGCUGCUGUUUCUACCAGUUAUGGCAGAAAACUGACCGUCAGCUGGACGUCUGAGUGGUUUUCUAAAACCAUACCUGGCUGGUGAAAACCUGGCAGAUCCACAGCAGCAGCAGCAGCACAGCCCCUCAGGCGACCUGCACAGACUCUGCUGUAAUGGGCUUCCUCGUGGUCGGAGGUCUCCUGUCAAACCUCAUCGCAGGAAGUCUGAACCUUCGAGCUGAAGAUCCCCUCGAGCGGAGGGACGGGUUUGAAGUCUUUGAAAAGAGGCAGAAGGAAAUGAAAGGGCCUCCCCUCUGGGCUUUUUUCUGCAGGGAGGUUUGAACUGAAACGGAAGGGGGGGGGGGGGGGGGGGGGUGACGGUGCUUACAAAACUAGGGCUGUUAAAUCAAACCUUAAGUCAUUUUCUCCUUCGAAUCAUUGUCUUGUGACCGGUCUGGAGUCACCCCGCGGCCCUGCAGAGGGUCCAGCCCCUCAGACUGAAGCCCACCGUCAUCGUCCUCACCCCAGAAACACUCCAACGUUAUUCCUCCCCCCUCCUCCCUCCUCCUCCUCCUCCUCCUCCUCCUCAGUGGGACUGAAUCUUUACUGCACUCGGUGAAUCUUUAAAGGUUUUCGAGGCUCUCCAAAGGGGUCCUCUCUGCAGGGAGGGUGACCGAGCCUCCACCUGAAGGAAAAAACCUCGUCAGAAACAAAAAAAGGAGGAUUUUUUUUUCUUUUUUACAAUUUUUUAUUUUUAUUUCCCUUCCUGAAUCAGAGGGAGACGGUCGUUGUCUCCUCGGUGAAGCCUCUGCUGACUGAACACAGCAGGACCAAGUGGGAGGGAGGAUCUGACAUCUUGAUAAAUGCAGCUGUGGAUGGAGUUUUUUUCUGUUAAAGUUGUGGAAGUUUUUCAUUUUUGGGGAACUUAUAAAAGAUCCGGGGCUCCCUCCAGUCCCAUGUGAGGACCUCCCUGAUAUCAGAGACUGAGAAUGAAAAAGCUGUUUUGGUUUUUUAGCCCAGCAGGACUUCUUCAGAGCACGAGUGAGGUUCACUGAAGAGUUUCAUUUCCAUAAUGACACAUCCAUUAGGGAACGAAAUCAGCCCGGCGUUGUUCUCCCCAGUUCUCUAAUUGCAGAGGGUUUUUUUAUGGUUUGUCAUUUCUUAAUAGAGUUUUUGUCAGUGUGGAAUCGCCUGCUGUGUUUCAGAAAGUCUCAUGAUUCCUGUUAAUGCUGCGUUCACACUGCAGAUGAGUUUCCACUUCAGACAGACCUGAACACAGUCACAGUUUCUGUCUGCAGACGUUUCAAAAUCAGGUUUUAGAGGCUGGAGUUUGGUUUAACAUUCACUGGCGUCUUUGUCUAGAUCCUGGGUGAAACAUCUUUUACUGAGGCACAUUGUAGGGCUGAACGAUUUAUCAACGAUUUAUUAUUUUAAUCCGAAAUCGCAAUUUGAACUAAUGCGAUUAGCAAACUCCCAAUCAGAUGUGGCCCAAGUCAAAGCGACUGUGGAAACUCCCACUAACAAAAACAAAAUGGCCGCUGCCUCAGAGGAGACAGGUCGACAACUUGCUAUGUUAAGAGACAGAAAAGCUGCUACAGGCGUCUGUAAGUUCAAAAACUACUGCAGUUAUUGCAAAUCAAGUCACAGUAUCUGUCAGAAAAAUCACAAUUAGAUCUUUUCCCUAAAUCGUUCAGCCCUACAUUUCUGCCAUGUUUGUCAAGUGUUGGAUAAAAAUGGGCCCAACUCUAAAAUUUAAUUUAAAAAAAAAUCACAUUUGGCCAAAACUCAGUCUGUCUCACCUCAGCUCAGACUUCAGUUCUUUUACCAAAUUUUAAUUUUGAAAAAGUAUUUUUUUUCAAAAUGUGCUCACCUCAGUCUCAGUCCUGAUAAUUGAACCAGUGUCUCUUACAGAUUUUAACAGAAACAAGUUGUUUCAUCCACAUUUCGACAAAAGUUAUCCCCCAUGUUAAAUUUCGUUUUUAAAAGAUGUUCAACAGAGCCACCCAAUUUUUUUUUAAAUUGACUCAAAUUUAUAAGAAAAAUUAAAAAUUUGACCCAAAUGUUUUUCCUAUUAACCCUGUGCCCGACAGCUGUUGUCUCUGACUUCAGCUCCUCUGAGGCUUUGCAGAUUUUGUGUAAAUGUGGAUAAAAUUUUGCCACAAUGUGUUUUUAAAAAAUCCUUUUUAGUCUUUUAUCCAAAUUUGGAUGAAAACACCUUUUUUUGUUGUUUGGAUGGAGAUGAAAAUCAGACUCAGAAUCAGCUUUUGUUUCUGUAGUUUUUCUUUCUCUUCAGUCGUCCUCAUUGAUCGACGUGUCUGAGGUUAAGAGAAGUGUCUGAUGGAAGAUCAGCUGAUCGACACACACACACACACACACACACUCAGCUGUUUGUGUUUCUCUAUUUGUGAGGUUCAUAACUGACAUAAUCCACUUCCUUAUAUAAACCUGAAAACCAAGUCUUAACCCUCAAACAUGUUAUAGAAUAAGGAUCAGACUUACAUUCUGCUCCUUAUGCCUAAUUUUACUCAGACCUGUUGUCCUCGUUAACAAAAUCACAAUGCAUUUAACAGAGUAAACACAAGAUGGCAGCGAUCUCUGUCAACACGUUCUACGACUGAGAUCAGAGGAACAAAACCUGAUCAGUUUCUUGUUGAAACUUUUUUUUUUCUGCUCAGUUGUUGAAUAUGACAACAGGACAUCAGCAUUAACAUUUGAAAUAUUCCAAGUUUAAAACUUUUCAUGGGAAUUAAAAGGAAUUAUACAAAGAUAAACAUUUUGUUUUGCGUGCUGACUUAUAUAAGUUUAAACAAUUACAUUUCUGACUUCUAUUUAUUUGUGAGUAGAACUUUAAUCAAUUCUGUUAUUGAACAACAACAAAAAAAAAAAAAAACUAGCACCAUGAUAGCUAGCGUCUUAAACUGUCAAUGAAAUGGUGUUAGCUAUUUUAUAUUUAGCAUAUCUGAUUCAGUGACUAGCUAGCUUACAUUUAGCAGUUAGCCACUGUAUAAGCACAUUUUGUAUUCUUUGCUCAUUAAACUAAACUGUAAAAUGAAAUCCAAGAUUAAAAGAUGUUUUUUUUUCCAACUAUAUUUAAGUUCUCUGUUACAGGCUAACCUGCAAUUUUGCAAAUUUCUAGUUUAUUCCUUUUAAUUCCUAUGGAAAAUUUCCAACUUGCAAACCUACUCCAGAUACUUAACUUUUGCAAAAAUAUUCUUAUUUUCCAAAUAUGUCCUCACUGAAAAUAGCUUCUAGAUGUUCUCCUCAGAUCAACUGGGACAAAAAAGAAAAUGUUAGUUUUUCUUCAGGGUUAAAGUUUGGUUUUAGCAGAAGCUCUGCCAAGGUGUAAAACUUUAUUCUCACAUCGACAGAAACACAAACACUCGUCUUUAUUCCUCUCACAUGGACACACACAGUGAUAUACAGUAUAGAAGUGUAACCACAUCUACUGCCUUUGUAUUCAUAUGCACUCUGUCUCGUAAGCACACACACACUCUGCUUAAUGAAAACGACACAUAACGAUUCGGUGGAUUCGCUGCCUCUAUGUCUCCGCACACACAAACACUGGCUGUCGCACACUCCCAGCAGCUCACUGCCGAACUAAACCCUACAACCGACCCCCCUCCCCAGGUCCACCUCCCCCGACGUCUUCCAUCCCCCAUUUGUCUUUCGUGCUCACUUUUAUUCACUUUAUCUCUCUCGCCUUCACUUCUUCUUAUCCUCCUCGCUCCACCAUCUCUGUGGUUUUUAAAUUUAAUUUCUCUUCACAGGCUCGGCAGGUGAAACACAUUUGUUUAGCUUUAAGCAUAUGAAGAAGGAAAACAGUAGAUAAAAGGAGGAGGAACAAUGAAGAGGAGCUCUCUGAGAGUAAGACGUCUCACUCUGUCUUAUCUCUGCUGCUUCUCUCGCUCGUCUCCCUGAACGAGCUGAAACUCUCAUUACUCUGCUGUCAGCUGCUGCAGGAGGCUGAGGAAAUCUGUGUGGAGGGUUUUAUUUAAGGUGCAGUUCUGUGCUUCAAGGCUCUGGACAGGUGCAGUGUGAGGACACACACCUGUUUCUGCCUCAGCUCCUGGGACUGAUGCACUUUAAGAUUUGGUUUUAGUUCAGUUUAUCUGUUCUUACCUUUACACAGGAUUCAUGAAUGAUGCAGGAGUUCUUAUCCCAGAUUCCCUCCUUCCAGCAGUCAGGAUAAACCUGGUCUGGGAUCUUGGUCAGUCCAGAUUAUCUGGUAGUGUGAGGGGUUUACACAUACAGUCUUGGACUUCCUGAACAGCUCGUAGACUCAUCGUGGCCGCCCCGAGAAUUUAGUUAAGAUCUGAGACAAUAUCACUUUUGGACUAGCUAGCUAAACAUUAGCAUUGUGAUCUAAUGUUUAAUGUUUAAUGUGUAAUCAUUCCCGACAUCAGUCCAACUGAUUAUAGACGAUUAAUCAAUCACCUGCUGUGCUGAUCCAGUCAGACCCUCGUUAUCAACACGGUCUCUGUGUUUAACUGUUUAAUUCUCGGCUCUAAAGCUUCAGAAACAUGAAAACACUAAAUGUCUUCUGAUGUUAGUGCAGCUGCUUUUAAUUCCAGGAGACACCUACACGAUUAAACUCAGAGGAACCUGAAGGCCUCGUGUCCGCCUCCAUGUCUGAGUCCAUGAGAAUAUAAAGUCUGUGAACCUGAAAAGUUGAGACCUGACAGUUUGAACAGUUAAACAUUGAAGUUUUCUCUCUAAAGUCAAACAGUGAAAUGUGUUAAAAGUUGUUGUUCAGUAAGAACAGAUCACAGAGUUUCUCGCAGGACGCUCAGUGUUUCUCUGCUCAGACAUGUUGCUGCUAAAUAUUUGAAAUGUCUUUUUUUAAAGACAGAAAUCUCAGAUGUUUUAAAGCACUGUCUGCACAGAGAGAGAUAACAGCAGAGCUCAGUGAAGGAACGUGGGUUUUUCUUUCUUCUCCUAAUUUGUGUGAAAUCAAUGAGACUUUUUUUCCCCCCUGAACGCAGCAGCAUUUAAAUUUACCCAGGACAAAUGAAUGUUGCCUUUGGUUCUUCAUCAACAGGUGGAGAUCAUUUAACAGCUCCAUUAGAGCCACAUGAAAAUGACUCUGCUGUGUGUUAAUGGAGCUCGUUUCCUCAGGACGACAGUGAUGGCUUUAAUUAUUACCUGCACACGGGGAGACGGAGAGACGAGCUCCAUCCACCCACCACAGUCUGUCUCUUUUCUUUUUUAAAAUCUGAGACAAUUUAGCUAAAUGUGUGGAGAUGAAGGUGAGAGAGCAGCAAGAGAUGAAGGAGAGAGGAGAGAGCGAGACAUCGAUUAAGGCUGCGUGGCUAAACGCAGCAGCAGGCAGAGCCGCAGGCCGACUCCAUCCAACACAGACAUCUGAAGGCCUCAUGAAGGGAGACGACGGCCGUUUCAUUUAUCCAGAAAAUAUAAAGUCAACAAGCAGAGGCUUUUCUAACGUUCAGUGGAGAGUUCAUCCACCCGAGCCACUCACUCAUCAACUAAAACUGGAUGUUUUAUAUCCGAUUUCCAACAUUUUGAAAAUCUCAGUUUUUAGACUCGUUUCCAUCGUUCUCGACUUUUCCAGAGAAAAAAUGAUUAGUUAUUUAAAAAAGAAUUCUUGGUGUAACAAAAUUGUACAAAUCAAGAAUCAAGAAUUACAUCUCCAUUUAUUUAUGUCAAAAACUGAAUUAAUAUCAACAGAUAAACUCUUGAAUAGAUUUUUUUAGUUGAGGAUCUAAAAACAAGUUUCUUAUUAACAAGUCAACAGAAUUGUGAGAGUUAAAAAAUCUAAUUUAAAUCUAAUUUAAUCUAAUUGUUUGAAUUUUUAGUGUUUGUUUGUUUCAUUGUUAAAAUAUCAACAAAAUAAUGAUGAACUUUGGGAGAACUGAGCAACAUUUAAACUAGUUUCAAAAUAGUUUGGAUGAAAAAAUCCUAAAUCAUUAAAUGUAGUUUCUGGUCUUUAUAACAGAGUCACAUUAUUUAUUUAUUAUUAAGAAAUACAGUAAGUAAUCCCUUGAGUCGUGUCCUGAGAGUCGAUGGCUGCGACAGCUCGUUGUUGAACGAGGCGUUCACUGUCUGCUUCCUGGUUUCGGUCUUCAGGAGAUGUUUGGGUCUGAGCCUUCGUCUGAUCCCUUUAAUUCUGUUGUCUGCCUUUCAGCCAUCUGCAUCCUGCUCUUCAUCCUCCUCCUCCUCCUCCCUCUGCUUACUCAUCCUCUUCAUCAUCCUGUCGUCCUCCCACACCUUCAUUCCUCAUCUGUCUCAUCUUAAAGUUCAGCCUCCCUCUCUUCCUCCUCCUCCUCCUCCUCCUUGCCUUACACUAAGCCUGUUUACAUAGGAUUAGAAACUCCAGCAGCUCCGUCGCUGCUGUUUUUUACCCUUUAAGGGAGUCGGGACUGGUUUUCUCUUCUCUGGCGUGUUUGUUUCUGUGUUUGUUCUCGUUGAAUUUCUGGGACUGAAGCUGCUCCUGAGCUUAACUCUGCCCUCGAGCUGCUGCUUCACCCAAACUGUUUGUUUUUCCUCACACUGUACUUGAAGAGAAAAUCCACCCUGAGUUAUGGAUCGAGUGGACGGGCAGACCAGGGACAGGCCCAGGGCCCCCCCCAGGAGAGGGAGCCCUGGGCCUCUGUUUUAACUGACUGCUAAUGUAUUGUAAUGGAGAGUUGAUCAGACGAAACCACAAAGAUGCAAAACUACACAGUGAUGCAAAACAAUCACAGAGAGACAUUAACUGACCACAUAGACAUCCAACAACUACAGGAAGAUUCACAAUGUCUCCAAAGAGACACAAACUGACCACAAAGAGACAGAAUAACUACAGAAGACACAAUGUCUCAAAAAAUGACAUAAAACAAAGAGACAUUGAAGAGACUCAUAGCAUCUCUGAGGGGAAGUAAAAUGACCACAGAGACAAAACAACUACAGAAAUACACAAAGAGACACAAAACGACUUCAGAGAGACAUUAACUGACCACAAGGAUACAAAGCAACUACAAACAGACACAAAGCAACUGCCAAGAGACACACAACUACAAAGAGACACACAACUACAAAGAGACACAAAACGACUUCAAAGAGAUAGGUGACUAUAAAGAGACAAAAUAAACACAGAGAGACACAAAAUGUCUCCAAAGAGAAGUAAAAUUACCACAAAGAGACAAAGUAAAGACUGGAUUCAUGUAAAACUAUGACAAAAUGACAUAAAAUAGACACUGACAGACACUAAAGACAGCUUUUAUUUUUCUUUAACACUGUUUUAACUUUAAAUCUUAACAUCUUAACAGAAAUGUGUUUUGUGUGGAUUUUCCCUUUAAGUACUUCCUGCUGGAUAAUUGUGUUUCUCUCGUUUUAAAUGCAUUUUUCUAACAACUAAAUGACAAAUUGCACCUGUUUCUUCUGGUCUUCUCAGUGUUGUGGCUUCGAUAAAGUUGUGUCACAGAGACAAACAAUCACUUCUGUAAAUUUCAGCUCGGCAUUUUCGGGUUUUUUCGUACAAAUCACGUGUCCUUCUCUCUGCAGUGUUUCAUUAUCUGGUGACGACAGGUGAAGUUAAAAUACUCAAACUGAUGUGAUGCUGUUCACUCAGUCUUUACACUGUAUUAUACCUUUAACGUUGUACUUGAUCAAUGCAAACUUUUUAAUUUUGAUAAUGAAUUUCAGUCGGCGCUUUAAGGACACGUGAGAUUUUUCUUUCUUUGUUUUUAUUUUUUUGGCUCUGCACUCGAAACAAAACAAACAGAAAAACAUCUGGUCAGUUUAAACACAGUCGUAUGAAACUGCAAAUAAAAGUCUGCACUUUACCACUGAACUGAAAUCUUUUAAUUUGAAAAUCAUGUUGAUUGAAUUUCUGUCAAGUUGACUUUUGAUUUUGUCGUCAGACCAAAUUAUAGUCUCAUCAUAUGUCUUCUCUUCUCGUUGUGUGCUGCCACGGCUCACUUCCUGUUGUUUUUCUUCUUCUGUUGUUUAAUGGAUGACGAGCCUCAACUUCCUGUGAUUGGUUCAAAAGUCCGAAACGUCCAAAAAAGUGUUUUCAGACAAAUCAAACUUGGUUCAGUCUGAUCCAGACCGAGAUCAGACUGACCACUGCUCUUACACAAUUUAUUGGCGUGAGCACUUUCUGUUAACAACAUGAUUUUCAAAGUAAAACGUUCCAGCAUUAAAUUGAAGUUUUCAGAAAACAUGAUUUAAAAGAACUGAAGAUUUGAAGUAUAAAUUAAUUAACUGAUUAUUUCAGUGGUUUAAUGUAAAAUUCAAACAGACCUGUUUCAUUCGACACAUCCAGUCGUGGUUUUUCUCGCUCUUUUCUGUUGUUUUUUACAGUGUAUUGGAUGUGCAGAUUGUCUGGCUGUCUGUUUUUCUUUUUUACAGUGUAGAUGAUGUGCAGAUUGUGUGUAUCAGUGUGUGAACAGAGCUCCUCUAUAUUUUCUAAGUGGUUGAAAGUUGUCGUGUAGAUUUAUCUUCCUGCCUUCUGCUGAGCUCCUUUAUGAGUCUGCGCUCUUGUUUUGUAAAGAAAUAAAACUUCCUGUUGGACCAAAACUGA